rnacentral:rRNA from 1 species
UACCAUGCAGUCGAACGAGAAAGGGCUCUUCGGAGCCUGAGUACAGUGGCGCACGGGUGAGUAACGCGUAGAUAACCUGUCCUGGAGUCUGGGAUAACCCACCGAAAGGUGGACUAAUACCGGAUACGCUUGUUGAUCGGGAGAGAGACAAGGAAAGAUGGCCUCUGUUGCAAGCUAUCGCUCCGAGAGGGGUCUGCGUACCAUUAGCUUGUUGGUGGGGUAAUGGCCUACCAAGGCGACGAUGGUUAGCGGGUCUGAGAGGAUGAUCCGUCACACUGGCACUGAAACACGGGCCAGACUCCUACGGGAGGCAGCAGUGAGGAAUAUUGCGCAAUGGGGGAAACCCUGACGCAGCGACGCCGCGUGAGUGAGGAAGGCCUUCGGGUCGUAAAACUCUGUCAGAAGGGAAGAAGUGCAGGGAGGUUAAUACCCUUUCUGUUUGACGGUACCUUCAGAGGAAGCACCGGCUAACUCCGUGCCAGCAGCCGCGGUAAUACGGAGGGUGCAAGCGUUACUCGGAAUCACUGGGCGUAAAGGACGCGUAGGCGGCUUGAUAAGCUGGAUGUGAAAUCCUAUGGCUUAACCAUAGAACUGCAUCCAGAACUGUCAGGCUAGAUGAGGGAGAGGUCAGUUGAAAUUAGGUGGUGUACGGG